rnacentral:lncRNA from 1 species
AAUUUAACUAAGACGGUCAGAGAGUUAAGUGGAAGAUUUGAUAAAUUCUUUAAAAAUUAUGAAUCUCAGUUAAAUAGUAAUCAAGCAAGCUUCAAAUCAUUGGAGUCACAGAUUGGUCAGUUGUCGAAAAGGAUCGAAACCACCGAGAAGCACCAGUUUCGGGCUAACACUGAUGUUAACCCCAAAGAAGAGUGCAGAGUUGUUAUAGCAGAAGAAAGCACGUCGGAUGCUAAUUAUUCUGAUAAUUGUAAUGUUUUGCAGGCACUAGUGAAUAAAAGCAGAAGAACCAUUCACCUAAAAGCAAGAGAAGAACCACUCCGACGGGGAAGCAAAGUGAAAUAUAAAAGGAAGGAGUGGAUAAUAAAGGAGCUGAAAGAGAAAGGGGCUGUGGAAAUUAAAGCACCGUACAAUAGACAGCUCAAGAGAGUGGACAGAAGACAAUCGAGUCGGUGGAACGAUGAGGAUCCCAAAGUAAAUAAAUAGAGUUGAUUUGCUGGACAUCAUUUUUUGUAUUUUUAAGAACAAUUUUCAUUUUCCGUGAUUUUCAUUCUUACUUUCUUUAGAACUUGUAAAUUUUGAAUUUUUGGAACAAUUUUUGGGUAGCAUCUACUGUGGAUGCU